rnacentral:lncRNA from 1 species
CUAUGUGGAGUCUAGUGAGUGUAUGUCUAUGUUUGGUUAAUUGGGGUUGGGACUCUCAGUUGAAGGCAGGUGUUGUCUAUCUGCCUUUGAUUGAGAGUCCCAUAUAUUAGGGUGUGUUUGUGUUUGUGAUUUGUGGGUGAUUAUUCUGUGUAUAGCCUUGUGCCUUACCAGACUGUUUGUCGAGUGUUCGUUUUUUCGUUAUUUGGUAUGUUCAUUUUUGAGAGUAAUUAAAAAUCAAGAUGAGCAUUCACGUACCUGCUGCGUUUUGGUCCUCAUUCACCGACAACAACCGUGACAAGAGUUGAAAGAUUGUUGUUGAUGGAUAUAUUGUGUAAUGGUGAAAGUCAGCCUACUUAUAGAAUAGAGUUGAAAGACUUGCAGAUGGAAAUGUUGUUUAGAGGUAAGAGAGCGUUGCAGAUGAUGUGUAGAUCUGAGCGAUUGUUGCAGAUAGAUAUGUAUCGUGUUGAGCUGAAUUGAUUCUCAAUUCUACACGACAGAGAUUCAUGUCUGCUCUCCCCAGGACAUUUCUUUCUGAGUGUUCUGUAACGUUACACGGUCCCGAACGCAACCCGAAUAGCUUGUCUAAAUAGAACCAGGUCAAAGUUUCACUGGGCGUGUCUGCCGUUCAGGCCUGUGGUGUGUUGUAUAUGAAAAUGUUAUCUUGGGAAACACAAACAAGCCAAUACUAACACAGACAGAGGCCUUGCCAGCCCAACAUUGGACUGGAUUUCGUAAGAGUUUCGCAACUCCACUUGAGCAAGACGUUUUUCACGGUCAUCUCUGCCAUCUGUUUAGCACUGUUUGUGGAAUAUUCAUUUUUUGAUUAAUGUGCAUUUACAGGGAUAAUACAUUCGUAUAUGAACGAUGGUUGCAUAACACAGAGAGAGACAAUGAAAUGAGGCCUACCAUGUGUUUUACGCUCAUGAUGCAUUUAUUAUGCAGUAAGAAUGAAACAACUAGGCCUGACAACACUCAGAUUUCCCCCGUUCAGAAUGUCAUUACAGCCCUUGGCUGUUACGUCAUCUUCUUGUCAUCAUGUCUAUCUUCCACCGUAAUUGUUGAUAAAAGUUAAUUGCAAUGUCUCUCCCUUCUUCUCACACAACGACAAAGCAGCCUUUGUGGAGAUCAGCCUAUUAGUCAGGCUGAUGGAAGGUGUGGUUGAUUACUGUGUAGAGAUACUGUCAAUAGAAGGGUUGGUCUCCAGAUUUAGAAAGAUCAGGACUCGACUGGUUAACCCGGUUAUUGUGGGAAAGUAGGUGCAUUUCACUUCAGGUAGUCCAGUGUUUGUGCUGAAUAGUUAGGUUGUGUUUGGUAGUGUUAUUGGCCGUUCGUCACAUCAUUUAAUGGAUGAAUGUUGAUGGAAUGAGAAUGUGUGUGUGAGUAGUUAGUGUGUGAAUGGUGUGUGUAUGUACUCUAGGAGAGUGUGUGUAUGGUUGUGCUGCAGGAUCAAAGGCAGGAUGAGGGAAUGUGUGUAUGUAUCACGGGGCGAGGCAGACAUCUGGGGUCCUCUCCGUUGCCAGCCGUGUGUCAGAGAUGACAGGACUCUGCCCCUCCUGAGGUUUUGUGUGUGUGUGUGUGUGUGUGUGUGUGUGUGUGUGUGUGUGUGUGUGUGUGUGUGUGUGUCCCUCCUUCAGUGGCCAGUGUUUAGAGGACAAAGGAUGUGCUGCAGCUGCUCUAAUUACAGUCUUUCUCAAGUGUGCCGACCACAGGGAGAGUGUGUGUGGGCGGGCGUGCACGCGCGUGUUUGUGUUUGUGUGUGUGUGCGCGCAAUUGCAUGAGUUUGCUGAUGUUUCUGUGCUUGCGUGUCCCCUGCACAGUGGUUUGUACUGUCUGUAUCUGUGAGUACAUUACCACUUAUACAUGUGUUGGAGUCUAUUUAUUUCUGUGUUUAUGAGGGUAUCAAUGACAGACAAAGGCCAAACCCAAUCCCCUCUGAUGCAGGCCAGGCCAGGCCAGGACAGGCUAGCUUGGGCUAGUUUAUCUCCAGGGCCUGCCUGUUUGUUUGUCUGCCUGUCUGUCUGCCUGCCUAUUAUCCCCACAGGCACUGUUCCCUCCUCUGACAUCUGCUUGAUGGCAUGGCCAUUUCAUCACCCUACUGAGGUAGAGGGAAUAACCAGGACAACAGAGAGGUUGGGGAGAACAACAGGGAAUAACCAGGACAGCAGAGAUGUUGGGGAGAAGAACGGGGAGUAACCAGGACAGCACAGGUUAGGGAGAACAACAGGAAAUAACCAGGACAGCAGAGGUUAGGGAGAACAACAGGGAAAACCAGGACAACAGAGGUUGGGGAGAACAACAAGGAAUAACCAGGACAACAGAGAGGUUGGGGAGAACAACAGGUAAUAACCAGGACAACAGAGAGGUUGGGGAGAACAACAGGUAAUAACCAGGACAACAGAGAGGUUGGGGAGAACAACAGGUAAUAACCAGGACAACAGAGAGGUUGGGGAGAACAACAGGAAAUAACCAGGACAACAGAGAGGUUGGGGAGAACAACAGGAAAUAACUAGGACAACAGAGAGGUUGGGGAGAACAACAGGGAAUAACUAGGACAACAGAGAGGUUGGGGAGAACAACAGGAAAUAACCAGGACAACAGAGAGGUUGGGGAGAACAACAGGGAAUAACUAGGACAACAGUGAGGUUGGGGAGAACAACAUGGAAUAACUAGGACAACAGUGAGGUUGGGGAGAACAACAGGGAAUAACCAGGACAACAGAGGCUGUGGAAGAACAACAGGGAAUAAACUACGACAACAGAGGGUGGGGAAGAACAACAGGGAAUAACUAGGACAACAGUGAGGUUGGGGCGAACAGCAGGAAAUAACCAGGACAACAGAGAGGUUGGGGAGAACAACAGGUAAUAACCAGGACAACAGAGAGGUUGGGGAGAACAACAGGAAAUAACCAGGACAACAGAGGUUGCAUGGAGGGAUGUGAGAGGAGGUAGAGAAAGAGAUAGAUGGAGUGAAGGAUAGAUGGAGUGAAGGAAGAAUGGAUGGAUAGAGGGAUUGUGGAAGGUUUUGGUGAAGGGGAGUGACUGAUGUGUUGAGGGAGGAGGAAAGGGGGGUAAUUAUGCUUCAGCGUCGCCACGUAGCUUCAGCUGCUAGCUCGAGUCUUGUGGGAUGGACGUGUGUUACACCAGGCUGUUUGAAUAGCUGAGAACGUAUGUCACCUCUCUUUUUAAUCAACCUGACUGGAGGCUGUGUGUCUGAGAGAGAGAGAGGGAGAGAGCGGGAGAGAGAGGGAGAGAGGGAG